GGAAGGGUGGCGGAGUGGUUGAACGCGGCGGUCUUGAAAACCGCAGUGGGCGCACGCCCACCGUGGGUUCGAAUCCCACCCCUUCCG
rnacentral:tRNA from 2 species